GACGAGGGAACCUAGCGUUGUUCGGAAUUAUUGGGCGUAAAGCGGGUGUAGGCGGCUCUAUAAGUCAGGUGUGAAAGCCCGAGGCUCAACCUCGGAAGUGCACUUGAUACUGCAGAGCUUGAGUGUGGUAGAGGUUACUGGAAUUCCUGGUGUAGUGGUGAAAUACGUAGAUAUCAGGAGGAAUACCGGAGGCGAAGGCGGGUAACUGGGCCAACACUGACGCUGAGACCCGAAAGCGUGGGGAUCAAACAGG
rnacentral:rRNA from 1 species